UCCUGAUGGCUAUGAAGACUUAAAGAGGUCUAACUGGUUCUAAGGCCACUUCACAGACUGUAACAUCAACUACUCUGUUGCCUCCAGCUUCUGGAACAUCAAUUCUGCAAAGGACAAUGGGGAAGAAGUUUUGAGUCGAAGUCACUGUCUAUGCCUUUUUGAGUAAGGCAGUACUGUGAAAUAAGUGAAUUUGUUCAUCUUACUCAUUUCAGUAUGGAAGUAAGUAAAGCCAAGCCUGAUCUGACAAGAUUGAUUUAUGUACCUCAAAGGUUCUCUGUAUUGCUCUCUCCAGUCAUGCUGUUGCUGUGGGACAAACUGCACUGGGCACUGCCCUGGAGUCAAUCCCUUGGAAGGGUAGCUUCUAUUUUGAUGACCCUGUUCUUCUGGAUCUAAUGAAUGGUACCACCACCAAUCUAGCAAGCCUUGCAGCAAGUGCAACAGCCUCUUACAACACUAAGAGCUGCCCCAAAGAAUAGCUGCUGCUCAGAUGACCGAGACAGUGGAGAGGGUUUUUGUCUGUCAGUGGU